rnacentral:rRNA from 1 species
AUUGAACGCUGGCGGCAGGCCUAACACAUGCAAGUCGAGCGGAUGCGAAGAGCUUGCUCUUCGAUUCAGCGGCGGACGGGUGAGUAAUGCCUAGGAAUCUGCCUGGUAGUGGGGGGCAACGUUUCGAAAGGAACGCUAAUACCGCAUACGUCCUACGGGAGAAAGCAGGGGACCUUUGGGCCUUGCGCUAUCAGAUGAGCCUAGGUCGGAUUAGCUUGUUGGUGAGGUAAUGGCUCACCAAGGCGACGAUCCGCAACUGGUCUGAGAGGAUGAUCAGUCACACUGGAACUGAGACACGGUCCAGACUCCUACGGGAGGCAGCAGUGGGGAAUAUUGGACAAUGGGCGAAAGCCUGAUCCAGCCAUGCCGCGUGUGUGAAGAAGGUCUUCGGAUUGUAAAGCACUUUAAGUUGGGAGGAAGGGUUGUAGAUUAAUACUCUGCAAUUUUGACGUUACCGACAGAAUAAGCACCGGCUAACUCUGUGCCAGCCGCCGCAGUAAUAC